rnacentral:lncRNA from 1 species
AUUGCUAAUCUAUCUUUUAUUCUCUAUACCGUUGAAUUAAUAAACAUCGUUCCUCUGUAUUUACCUUUUGUGUUUUUUCUUUACAAAUUCAAUCUUGUGUUUUCGUGGUGUGAUCUAGUAUACUUCAAUAUUGUUAUUAAAUUUCGUUCUUUAUAAUUCGGUUUGGAAUCAACAUGUGUUAUUGAAGUUUCCACGCCCAACAAAAUAGAGGCUUAAUCAAUCUUUUCCAAAUAAACCUGAAAUCGAAGUAGCUUUAUAAAGAGGUGAUAAAUGCUUUCUUGGAUCAUCUGCAUCCCCUCAUAUCUAGAUACAAGUCACUUUGAAGAAAAUGAUACUUUAGAUUCACGUUUUCAUAAGCAUGCGCCAACUUUUUUCUUCGAACGUCAUAUGAUAAAAGACUCCUAAUACGGUGGUCUUCUGUGACAUGGCGCCAUCCGUGCACGUAUUGCUGUUAGAAACCCAGACUAAAACUCUCAUUGGUGCAUAAGAUUUUAUGGUCCAAAAUUCCCACCAAGUUUCUCAAACACAACAAAUAUACGUAACAACUAACGAAUGAAUGGGUAAAAGGAAGGUAUAUGUGGAAAAAUCUUAGGGGUGCUCAAAGAAGAAAUGGCAUCCUACUCAGACCAUGUUUCUCAUAAUCUGUUACUUGUCAUUCGUUCGAAAUGUGUACUAGAAGCCUUGGAUUUCGUGGCAUAGUAGGUACCUUUUAUAUUUCUUAUCCACUCUUUUUUAACCAAACUAAAUGUUUUGCCAAUUCAAUCCGUGAUAUAAAAGACCCUAGAAAUCAACCAUUACAUAAUUUCAUAACUCUUUUUGUACAAACUGAAUACUUGUCGAGUCAAACAAUUCCUAGUUAAACCCGAAUUAACAUGUUUUUGUGUCUUUAUAUUAACUAAAUUGAUAGAAUAAAGAAAUAUAAGGGACUACUUAUUAUUGAUAAUUUCUAUUUUUUCUUUUUAAAAUUAUAAUCUUUUGUGCUGUCAAUGCUUUUAUGACUCAAAAGUAAUAAGCCUUUCUCAUGAAUGACGUCAUGAUAUAUGAAUCUAAUGUAUUAUUUGGACUCAAAAAUAUUUUAUGUUAUCUCACCUUUUUUCUAUGUGCGAGUGGGAGAAGUAACAUUAUUGCACAACUCUUAUCAUACCCAAUCUAGUGGAAUUUAGUUUGGUCUAUUAGAGGCAGUUUACAUAUCUAUUUAAAAGUUUAAAUCGUUAUACGUUU